rnacentral:misc_RNA from 1 species
AAGUCGUAACAAGGUUUCCGUAGGUGAACCUGCGGAAGGAUCAUUAUCGAGUUUUGAAACGGGUUGUAGCUGGCUUCUCCGGAGGCAUGUGCACGCCCUGCUCAUCCACUCUACACCUGUGCACUUACUGUGGGUAUUGGAAGGCGUCGCGCUGUUUCUUAUGGCGAGGCGUCAACCGUGCCUACGUUUUACUACAAACGCUUCAGUAUCAGAAUGUGUAUUGCGAUGUAACGCAUCUAUAUACAACUUUCAGCAACGGAUCUCUUGGCUCUC